rnacentral:rRNA from 1 species
AGCAGCCGCGGUAAUUCCAGCUCCAAUAGCGUAUAUUAAAGUUGUUGCAGUUAAAAAGCUCGUAGUUGAAUUUCGGGAUCAGUACGCUAGUCGUCUCUUCGGUACGUACUGGUGUUGCUGAUUCCUACCUUCUGACGAACCGUUAUGUCAUUAAUUUGGUGUGGCAGGAAAUCAGGACUGUUACUUUGAAAAAAUUAGAGUGUUUAAAGCAGGCUCGCGCUUGAAUACAUUAGCAUGGAAUAAUGAAAUAGGACGUUGACCCUAUUUUGUUGGUUUCUAGGAUUGACGUAAUGAUUAAUAGGGAUAGUUGGGGGCAUUAGUAUUCAAUUGUCAGAGGUGAAAUUCUUGGAUUUAUUGAAGACUAACUACUGCGAAAGCAUUUGCCAAGGAUGUUUUCAUUAAUCAAGAACGAAAGUUAGGGGAUCGAAGACGAUCAGAUACCGUCGUAGUCUUAACCAUAAACUAUGCCGACUAGGGAUCGGAUGAUGUUAUUUUUAAUGACUCAUUCGGCGCCUUACGG